CAGCCGCCGCGGUAAUACAGAGGGUGCAAGCGUUAAUCGGAAUUACUGGGCGUAAAGCGCGCGUAGGUGGUUCGCCAAGUUGGAUGUGAAAUCCCCGGGCUCAACCUGGGAACUGCAUCCAAAACUGGCGAGCUAGAGUAUGGUAGAGGGUGGUGGAAUUUCCUGUGUAGCGGUGAAAUGCGUAGAUAUAGGAAGGAACAUCAGUGGCGAAGGCGACCACCUGGACUGAUACUGACACUGAGGUGCGAAAGCGUGGGGAGCAAACAGGAUUAGAUACCCGCGUAGUCCCUGUCUCAUACAC
rnacentral:rRNA from 1 species